UACGUAGGGUGCAAGCGUUGUCCGGAAUUAUUGGGCGUAAAGAGCUCGUAGGCGGUUUGUCGCGUCUGCCGUGAAAGUCCGGGGCUCAACUCCGGAUCUGCGGUGGGUACGGGCAGACUAGAGUGAUGUAGGGGAGACUGGAAUUCCUGGUGUAGCGGUGAAAUGCGCAGAUAUCAGGAGGAACACCGAUGGCGAAGGCAGGUCUCUGGGCAUUAACUGACGCUGAGGAACGAAAGCCAGGGGAGCGAACGGG
rnacentral:rRNA from 1 species